GAAUAAGAUUCCUUUUUUCACUCAAAUAAAGUGGCAGGCCAGGCUUGAUUCGGCUGAUCUGGCUGGCUAAGCAGGUGUGCCUUUUGUCUCUCACAGCUUCAUGUUCAUCCCUCCCAAAGCUGUGCAUGUGGUGGAAGAGCAUGGCCAUCCCUGAUAGAGGAGGACUGUUUCUCCCCUCAAGGGUAUGGGAGUAGUUUCAUUCCCCUACUAGAACCGCCAAACAUGCCCUCAAACAAAAUGGCAAUUGAGACCUUAAUUACAUCCAUAAAAACAUUCAUUCUUGCUCUGU
rnacentral:snRNA from 1 species